rnacentral:misc_RNA from 1 species
AACGCACAUUGCGCCCGCCAGUAUUCUGGCGGGCAUGCCUGUCCGAGCGUCAUUUCAACCCUCGAGCCCCCCCGGGGGCCCGGCGUUGGGGAUCGGCACCCCGCCCUCAAAGGCGGGAGCCGGCCCCGAAAUACAGUGGCGGUCUCGCCGCAGCCUCUCCUGCGCAGUAGCUUGCACACUCGCACCGGGAGCGCGGCGCGGCCACGCCGUGAAACACACCAAACUUCUGAAAUGUUGACCUCGGAUCAGGUAGGAAUACCCGCUGAACUUAA